rnacentral:tRNA from 1 species
GCCUCGGUAGCGCAGUAGGCAGCGCGUCAGUCUGAUAAUCUGAAGGUCGUGAGUUCGAACUUCACCCGGGGCA